rnacentral:rRNA from 1 species
UACAGAGGGGGCAAGCGUUAUUCGGAAUUAUUGGGCGUAAAGGGCGCGUAGGCGGCCUGGCAAGUGGAAGGUGAAAUCCCUCGGCUUAACCGAGGAACUGCCCUCCAAACUGCUUGGCUUGAGUCCGGGAGAGGUGAGUGGAAUUCCCAGUGUAGCGGUGAAAUGCGUAGAUAUUGGGAGGAACACCAGUGGCGAAGGCGGCUCACUGGACCGGAACUGACGCUGAGGCGCGAAAGCGUGGGGAGCAAACCGG